AGUGAACGCUGGCGGUAGGCCUAACACAUGCAAGUCGAACGGCAGCACAGUAAGAGCUUGCUCUUACGGGUGGCGAGUGGCGGACGGGUGAGGAAUACAUCGGAAUCUACUUUUUCGUGGGGGAUAACGCAGGGAAACUUACGCUAAUACCGCAUACGACCUGCGGGUGAAAGCAGGGGAUCUUCGGACCUUGCGCGAUUGAAUGAGCCGAUGUCGGAUUAGCUAGUUGGCGGGGUAAAGGCCCACCAAGGCGACGAUCCGUAGCUGGUCUGAGAGGAUGAUCAGCCACACUGGAACUGAGACACGGUCCAGACUCCUACGGGAGGCAGCAGUGGGGAAUAUUGGACAAUGGGCGCAAGCCUGAUCCAGCCAUACCGCGUGGGUGAAGAAGGCCUUCGGGUUGUAAAGCCCUUUUGUUGGGAAAGAAAAGCAGCAGGUUAAUACCCCGCUGUUCUGACGGUACCCAAAGAAUAAGCACCGGCUAACUUCGUG
rnacentral:rRNA from 1 species